GCGGGGCUCUGGCAGUAUAAAGAAGCGACACGCACGUCGGCUCUAGACGCCGCGAUGGCUAUCUCAGAUGUGGGUCUCCCAGGCGAGGUUCCUUGGAAGAAGAUGUCUGCAGAGGAUCUGGAGAAUCAGUACUGUCCCAGCCAAUGGGUUGUCCGACUGGGAGCAGAGGAAGCCUUGAGGACCUACUCACAGAUAGGAAUCGAAGGCUUAAGAACUCCUGUGUUAAUUAAAUCACGACCUUCUGAUGAAGCCACGCCGAUGAGCCUGUGGGGCGCAUUGUCUUCACACUGUGCUGGGGCAGGGUUGUUGGCAAACCCGCAUGGAUGGCAGCUGGCAAUGGCCUCAUGGUGACAAAUGCAUCUGCCUUUUGACCCAGAAUUCUACCCCUGAGAGGGCGUCCUACAGAUGCUUGCAAGUGCUGUGGUACUGGGUGUACAAGGCUAUUCACAGCAGGGGCGUUUGUGGUAGCAUGGCCUGGGAGACAGCCCAGAUGCCUUUCAGCAAAGGAUUGGUGGCAGGUCUGCAGCCCUGCUGGCACCUUGAGCUUGGACUUCCAGUUUGCAGAACUGUGAGAAAAUAAAAUUUCCAUUAAGU